rnacentral:rRNA from 1 species
UUGACNUCANAUCGGGCGAGGAUACCCNCUGAACUUAAGCAUAUCAAUAAGCGGAGGAAAAGAANCCAACAGGGAUUGCCUCAGUAGCGGCGAGUGAAGCGGCAAGAGCUCAGAUUUGAAAUCCGGUGCGGUCCCCGCGCCUGAGUUGUAAUCUGGAGAGGAAGCCCCGGCGAGGCCGGCCGUCCAAGUUCCUUGGAACAGGACGUCUUAGAGGGUGAGAACCCYGUACCCGGCGGCCUGCCGAGCCGCGUGGGGCUCCUUCGASGAGUSGAGUUGUUUGGGAAUGCAGCUCAAAAUGGGUGGUAAAUUCCAUCUAAAGCUAAAUACCGGCGGGAGACCGAUAGCGCACAAGUAGAGUGAUCGAAAGAUGAAAAGCACUUUGAAAAGAGAGUUAAAAAGUACGYGAAAUUGUUGAAAGGGAAGCGCUUGCCAUCAGAAUCGGGSCCGCCCSAUCAGCGUUCCUUSUGGU